AUGAUUACUGUGCUAUGCAACUUCCAUUCGCGAGGGGGGGCUAUGUUUACACAUCAUACCAUGGGUUUCAUGAAUCACCAUAUCCAGAGAUUCGUCGACACAGCUUGUUGCCAGAAUUAUCGAUGCAAGUCGAAGAAGGAUUGGCCGGUGCUGCCGGCUGGCUUCAAGUUCGAUCCCACGGAUCAGGAGCUGAUCGAGCACCUUGAGGCCAAAGUGAGUGCUGACAGCGCGAGAUUUCAGUCUCUCAUCGAUUUGUUCAUACCAACCAUCGACAGCGAGCACAGCAUAUGCUACACCCAACCUGAGAAACUUCCAGGUAUCACACUGAGUGGCCUAAGGAAGCAAUUCUUCCAGCGCAAUUCCAGGGCGUUCAAAAGGGGCACGUGGAUGCUUCGCAAGAUACAGUCGGAGUGCGGCAUGCACGCGAUGUGGCACAAGACCGGCAAUACCUUGCCGGUGAUGGUCAACGGCCGGCAGACGGGCAGCAAAAAAGGUUCUCGUGUUGCACACCAACAAGAACUUCGACCAGCAGAGGACCAACUGGGUGAUGCACCAGUACCACCUCAGGGACCUGCAGCAAGAGAAGGAGCGGGAACUGGUCCUCUACAAGAUUUUCUACCAGACGAACACUAG
rnacentral:rRNA from 1 species